rnacentral:lncRNA from 1 species
CCUCACUCCCUCUCGCAGAAUGUCACUAUUAAUAGGGGUGAGCUCUAUGCAAACUUCUCAUCACAACCCUAGCUAGUAGAGAGAGAGAGAGAGAGAGCCAUGAAAAUAACUAUGGAGGAAACAAGGGUGUUGCUUGUUUUCAUUGUCUUUGUAGGGUUUCUUGUGGGUUCUGAAGGAGUGGGUUCUAAAGGAGUGACCAGUAGUAGUGAGAAGGAAAAGAAAAAGGAGGUCUAUGAUGCCAAAAAUUAUGGGGGAUACGGUGGAUAUGGAGGGAAAGGAGGUUAUGGCGGAUACGAUGGAGACGGUGGAUAUGGAGGGAAAGGAGGUUAUGGCGGAUACGGUGGAUAUGGAGGGAAAGGAGGUUACGGCGGAUAUGAUGGAGACGGUGGAUAUGGAGGGAAAGGAGGUUGUGGCGGAUACGAUGGAGACGGUGGAUAUAGAGGGCCUAAAGGAGGUUAUGGAGGAGGCGAUGUUUACGGUGGAUAUGGAGGGCCUAAAGGAGGUUAUUGGGGGUAUGGAGGAUAUGGGGGUAAGGGAGGGUAUGGAGGGUAUGGGGGUAAGGGAGGGUAUGGAGGGUAUGAUCAUGGAAGAGGAGAUCGUUUUAAAGAUGAUCGAGAUGGAAAGGAAGACCGUUCUGAAGAUGAUCAAGGUGGGAAAAGAGACAGCCCUAAGUAUGAUUAUGGUAGGAAAGGAGGCAAUCCAAAAUAUGAUGAUGGCGGGAAAGGAUAUAAGCCUAAAGGCGAUGGUCGAGCUGGCGGUAGUGGCUAUCCAUAGUCACACACCCGACCACACCAGGCUUUGAAAGGCUUAACUGAACUGAGGCCGUAUUAACUAUAGAAAUAAUCUUGAGCCUAAGAACUUUAGCCUUUGAGUUGUUAACUCAAUUUAUAUGUAUUGGUCUUAGUUUUUAAAUAAAUGUGCUUCAAGUAUCACUGCGCUCUCUCUCUGUCUUUAUUUUGUUUAUGUUUUAGGCCAUUGUUCUUUAACUGUUAUUUUUACAUGACGAC